GGUGUCUGCCUGUUUAGAGAACUGAGCUGCAGCUGCUGAAUUGUAUUUGGUGUUUGCUAUGGGACUGAACUGCUGCCAAAGAAGAUCGAGCUCACCCACAAGGAACUAUUGCUAAACAGGUCCACUUCCCCCAUAUCCUAAUAACUUUCUCUUCCACUACCUCUGCUGGCUGGUGGGCUAGAGGAGAGAUUGAACCCUUAUUAAAGACCAUUGCUGUGUCCCAGGACUUGUCCUGGCCAGAUCCUGGAGUCUUGUUAGAUGAAACUAAAGCUCCUUAGAGAAGCUACUGUGAUGGUGCCCCCAAAGCCAGUGGGAAGGCAUGCAUGGGAAAUGCUGGAGGGUCUUGAGCAGCCACUGCCUUCGUAAGUAGAAUUGGACUGCCUUGAACAGCACCAGAAAUAGACUGAGCAAGAAGGCCCAUUGGAAGAACCCAGAGAUACCAUCCAAGUACCUUGUAGGGCUAAAUAAAAAAAAACCCAUGGUUAGUAGUUUCUGGAUCACUAGUGUCACUAAAUGUUUAGAAACCCGCAUUUAAGUCAUGAGAAGGUAGACACACCUACUUGUGGGAGGGGGAAUGGAGAAGACAGACAGAGACUGACCUCAGAAUCCAAAGUUUAUUAAUCUGCAACAUCAGCUUUGGUAAACAGUAAAAACAAAUCUCUAGUAUCUAGUCUUGGUAACAUCUAUAUGUAUACCAAUUCCCAUUUCUCUGAACUACUCACAACUAUUUAUUGAGCACAUAUUGCAUGUUAUGUAUAUCCUUGCUGAUGAGGUAAAGUCAUGGACUAGACAUUAACCUGGAUAUUAAGAAAUUCACAUUCUAAUUUACCAAACAUGUAAUAGGUGUAGCUGCUUGUACUAUUUUCCUAAUUUCAGGGUGAAAUGAUGACAACAGUAGUUGGUGUGUUCAGAUGAAUGUAAUUGCUGAAAGUUUCUACCUAUAGUCAUCUUUGCAUCUGGACUCCAAAUCCAGCUGUUUCUUCCAUUUUAUCUGAGACUUGUCACAGUCACACUCCAGAUUGAUCCAGGAUGGAUGUGCCAGCAGGUGGAACAGUGCAGUUGCAUUCAGGUGGCUCAAGACUCAAUCAGCCUCACCACAUACACAGCCUGUGACAGACUCUUUCUCUGUCUCACUAUCUUGACUGAAUGGAAUAAUAAAACCUUUCUUUUCUAAAUACUUAAAUUGCCCAUCACUUAUUCAGUCACUCAUUAAUUUAAGAAUAUUUCUUGACCUCACAUAGGGCAAACUCUAAUAAAGAAAUCAGUCC
rnacentral:lncRNA from 1 species